rnacentral:rRNA from 1 species
AUACAUGCAAGUCGAGCGGACCAAACAGGAGCUUGCUCUUGUUUGGUUAGCGGCGGACGGGUGAGUAACACGUGGGUAACCUGCCCGUAAGACCGGGAUAACUCCGGGAAACCGGAGCUAAUACCGGAUAACACCGAAGACUGCAUGGUCUUUGGUUGAAAGGCGGCUUCGGCUGCCACUUACGGAUGGGCCCGCGGCGCAUUAGCUAGUUGGUGAGGUAACGGCUCACCAAGGCGACGAUGCGUAGCCGGCCUGAGAGGGUGACCGGCCACACUGAGACUGAGACACGGCCCAGACCCCUACGGGAGGCAGCAGUAGGGAAUCUUCCGCAAUGGACGAAAGUCUGACGGAGCGACGCCGCGUGAGCGAAGAAGGUCUUCGGAUCGUAAAGCUCUGUUGUUAGGGAAGAAGAAGCGUCGUUCGAACAGGGCGGCGCGGUGACGGUACCUAA